rnacentral:miRNA from 1 species
CUCUAGAUGUUGCUGAACUACAACUCCCUUGAUUCUAUGAAUGAAAUAGAUAGGCUGAGAAUCAUCAUGGGAGUUGUAGUUCAGCAACAUCUGGAG